UGGGGAAUAUUGCACAAUGGGCGCAAGCCUGAUGCAGCCAUGCCGCGUGUAUGAAGAAGGCCUUCGGGUUGUAAAGUACUUUCAGCGAGGAGGAAGGUGUUGUGGUUAAUAACCGCAGCAAUUGACGUUACUCGCAGAAGAAGCACCGGCUAACUCCGUGCCAGCAGCCGCGGUAAUACGGAGGGUGCAAGCGUUAAUCGGAAUUACUGGGCGUAAAGCGCACGCAGGCGGUCUGUCAAGUCGGAUGUGAAAUCCCCGGGCUCAACCUGGGAACUGCAUCCGAAACUGGCAGGCUAGAGUCUUGUAGAGGGGGGUAGAAUUCCAGGUGUAGCGGUGAAAUGCGUAGAGAUCUGGAGGAAUACCGGUGGCGAAGGCGGCCCCCUGGACAAAGACUGACGCUCAGGUGCG
rnacentral:rRNA from 1 species